rnacentral:rRNA from 1 species
AACCAACCGGGAUUGCCUUAGUAACGGCGAGUGAAGCGGCAAAAGCUCAAAUUUGAAAUCUGGUACCUUCGGUGCCCGAGUUGUAAUUUGGAGAGGGCAACUUUGGGGCCGUUCCUUGUCUAUGUUCCUUGGAACAGGACGUCAUAGAGGGUGAGAAUCCCGUGUGGCGAGGAGUGCGGUUCUUUGUAAAGUGCCUUCGAAGAGUCGAGUUGUUUGGGAAUGCAGCUCUAAGUGGGUGGUAAAUUCCAUCUAAAGCUAAAUAUUGGCGAGAGACCGAUAGCGAACAAGUACAGUGAUGGAAAGAUGAAAAGAACUUUGAAAAGAGAGUGAAAAAGUACGUGAAAUUGUUGAAAGGGAAGGGCAUUUGAUCAGACAUGGUGUUUUGUGCCCUCUGCUCCUUGUGGGUAGGGGAAUCUCGCAUUUCACUGGGCCAGCAUCAGUUUUGGUGGCAGGAUAAAUCCAUAGGAAUGUAGCUUGCCUCGGUAAGUAUUAUAGCCUGUGGGAAUACUGCCAGCUGGGACUGAGGACUGCGACGUAAGUCAAGGAUGCUGGCAUAAUGGUUAUA